rnacentral:misc_RNA from 1 species
AUAAUAAGGUAGUAACAUAAAAGAUUGGUCCAAAGAAUGUCAAAAUGGGCAGCGGCUGUUCUUCUCCAUCAAUCUCACUAACUACCAUCGCUACCUCUCAUUUUCAAUCCCAAGAAUCACUAUCAAACUCUUUAAAUUUCUACUCACCUACUAGAUUUUUGGAACCCCAUCUCCUUAAAUCUUCCAAGAUUUUCAUACCCAAAUCCCCAUUGAAGUGUGCUAAAGUGCCCGAAAUGCAGACCCAACUGGAAGAUUCUGCGAAACCCAUUGUCGAUCCUCAUGAUAUCGACUCAAAAUUGGUGCAGAAGCUUGCUAAUGAUGCACUUGUCUGGUGCUCUCUUCGUGGACUUCUUGUUGGUGACAGAAAUUCGGAGAGGUCAGGAACUAUUCCUGGUGUUGAUAUGGUUCAUGCUCCAGUUGCUCUCAUACCAAUGUCAUUUCCUGAAAGUCAUUGGAAGCAAGCUUGUGAAGUUGCUCCUAUUUUCAAUGAACUCGUGGAUCGCGUGAGUCAGGAUGGAGAAUUUCUGCAGCAAUCACUGUCUAGGACGAGAAAAGCUGAUCCUUUCACCUCCAGAUUACUAGAAAUCCACUCCAAGAUGUUAGAAAUCAACAAGCUAGAGGAAAUACGCUUGGGGUUGCAUCGCUCAGACUAUAUGCUGGAUGAGCAAACGAAAUUACUUUUGCAAAUAGAGCUUAACACAAUCUCAUCAUCAUUUCCAGGGCUAAGUUGUCUGGU